rnacentral:rRNA from 1 species
UACGAAGGGUGCAAGCGUUAUCCGGAUUCAUUGGGUUUAAAGGGUGCGUAGGCGGAGCGUUAAGUCAGUGGUGAAAUCCUGCAGCUCAACUGUAGACUUGCCAUUGAUACUGGCGUUCUUGAGUGCGCUUGAAGUAGGCGGAAUGUGCCGUGUAGCGGUGAAAUGCUUAGAUAUGGCACAGAACACCAAUUGCGAAGGCAGCUUACUAAACCGGCAACUGACGCUGAUGCACGAAAGCGUGGGGAGCGAACAGG